GAUGAACGCUGGCGGCGUGCCUAAUACAUGCAAGUCGAGCGAACAGACGAGGAGCUUGCUCCUUUGACGUUAGCGGCGGACGGGUGAGUAACACGUAGGUAACCUACCUAUACGACUGGGAUAACUUCGGGAAACCGGAGCUAAUACCGGAUAAUAUUUCGAACCGCAUGGUUCGAUAGUGAAAGAUGGCUUUGCUAUCACUUAUAGAUGGCCCUGCGCCGUAUUAGCUAGUUGGUAAGGUAACGGCUUAGCAAGGCAACGAUUCGAAGCCGACCUGAGAGGGUGAUCGGCCACACUGGAACUGAGACACGGCCCAGACACCUACGGUAGGCAGCAGUAGGGAAUCUUCCGCAAUGGGCGAAAGCCGGACGGAGCAACGCCGCGUGAGUGAUGAAGGUCUUCGGAUCGUAAAACUCUGUUAUUAGGGAAGAACAAACGUGUAAGUAACUGUGCACGUCUUGACGGUACCUAAUCAGAAAGCCACGGCUAACUACGUG
rnacentral:rRNA from 1 species